UACGUAGGUGGCAAGUGUUGUCCGGAAUCAUUGGGCGUAAAGAGCUCGUAGGCGGCCUGUUGCGUCCGCUGUGAAAACCCGAGGCUCAACCUCGGGCCUGCAGUCGAUACGGGCAGACUAGAGUUCGGCAGGGGAGACUGGAAUUCCUGGUGUAGCGGUGAAAUGCGCAGAUAUCAGGAGGAACACCGGUGGCGAAGGCGGGUCUCUGGGCCGACACUGACGCUGAGGAGCGAAAGCGUGGGGAGCGAACAGG
rnacentral:rRNA from 1 species